GUAAUGCUUAGGAAUCUGCCUAUUAGUGGGGGACAACAUCUCGAAAGGGAUGCUAAUACCGCAUACGUCCUACGGGAGAAAGCAGGGGACCUUCGGGCCUUGCGCUAAUAGAUGAGCCUAAGUCGGAUUAGCUAGUUGGUGGGGUAAAGGCCUACCAAGGCGACGAUCUGUAGCGGGUCUGAGAGGAUGAUCCGCCACACUGGGACUGAGACACGGCCCAGACUCCUACGGGAGGCAGCAGUGGGGAAUAUUGGACAAUGGGGGGAACCCUGAUCCAGCCAUGCCGCGUGUGUGAAGAAGGCCUUUUGGUUGUAAAGCACUUUAAGCGAGGAGGAGGCUACCGAGAUUAAUACUCUUGGAUAGUGGACGUUACUCGCAGAAUAAGCACCGACUAACUCUGUGCCAGCAGCCGCGGUAAUACAGAGGGUGCAAGCGUUAAUCGGAUUUACUGGGCGUAAAGCGCGCGUAGGUGGCCAAUUAAGUCAAAUGUGAAAUCCCCGAGCUUAACUUGGGAAUUGCAUUCGAUACUGGUUGGCUAGAGUAUGGGAGAGGAUGGUAGAAUUCCAGGUGUAGCGGUGAAAUGCGUAGAGAUCUGGAGGAAUACCGAUGGCGAAGGCAGCCAUCUGGCCUAAUACUGACACUGAGGUG
rnacentral:rRNA from 1 species